rnacentral:misc_RNA from 1 species
GAUGAAGAACGCAGCGAAAUGCGAUAAGUAGUGUGAAUUGCAGAAUUCAGUGAAUCAUCGAAUCAUUGAACGCACAUUGCGCCCUUUGGUAUUCCUUAGGGCAUGCCUGUUCGAGCGUCAUUUAAACCUUCAAGCUAAGCUUGGUGUUGGGUGACUGUCCGCUUCACGGCGGACUCGCCUCAAAAUUAUUGGCGGCCGGUACAUUGGCUUCGAGCGCAGCAGAAACGCGAACUCGGGCCCGUCGUAUUGGCUCCCAGAAGCUAUCUUCACAAUUUUGACCUCGGAUCAGGUAGGGAUACCCGCUGAACUUAAGCAUAUCAAUAAGCGGAGGA